rnacentral:tRNA from 1 species
GCCUUCGUGGUAUAGUGGUCAGCACGCUCGCACGCCCGAGAGGUCCGUGGUUCGAUUCCCGGUGAAAGCG